rnacentral:rRNA from 1 species
UACAGAGGGGGCGAGCGUUGUUCGGAAUUACUGGGCGUAAAGGGCGCGUAGGCGGCCGACUAAGUCAGACGUGAAAUCCCCAGGCUCAACCUGGGAACUGCGUCUGAUACUGGAUGGCUUGAAUCCGGGAGAGGGAUGUGGAAUUCCAGGUGUAGCGGUGAAAUGCGUAGAUAUCUGGAGGAACACCGGUGGCGAAGGCGGCAUCCUGGACCGGUAUUGACGCUGAGGCGCGAAAGCCAGGGGAGCAAAC